GAAGAGGCCCUAGUUGAUUUUUAGAGAGAGAAAAGGAAGAUGGGAUACUGAUUUGGGAUAGUUUGAAGAGGAUUUUUCUCUCUGAUUUGAGAGAAAGCCCUAACUAUACUGAUUUGUGAAGAGGCCUUAAUUGAGUUUUACCGAGAGAUAAGGUAGAGGUUUUUUUCAUUUUCUAGGGGAAACAACGAGCAGAGCUGGAAACCUAAUCCUCUAUGUACAAUUUCUUGCUCCUGUUUUUUUGGCAGAUUUUGGUGAAAUUCAGCUGUAAAAUUUUGAUAUUCGGUUGCUCGCAAUUCAGCCAAAAACCCUAGCCCUAACCCUAUAAGACCUUGUUUAUGGCGGAUUCUAGUGACCCUAUGCCCACUGAACCAGUAUGUAGUUUUUUUAGAAAACCAACAAAGAACAAGAAUAUAAGAAAGCGAAAUUUAGAAGAGAAUGAUUCAGAGGGGGAAGAUGAAUCUCCAUCUGUGUCUUUGAACCACAAAGUACCUAAGAAACCAGACAACAAGCUGUUCUUCUCGACUGUCGGCCCUUCCAGAGUUCCUUCAGAAACCCUAGAACAAGCUCCAUCCUCGAAAGCAACUGUCUUUCACUUUGAAUCCUCAAAGGAGAUACAGGUCGAACACGAUAGCCGAGCAACUGCAACACUUGAAACAGAAACUGAUUUCUCAAACGACGCCCGAGCCAUUAGAGAGAGGAUCCUUAAACAAGAAGAGGAAAGACUCAGAGGUAAUAAACGAGAUGAGAAACUUUACCAAGGAAUUCAUGGGUACACAGAUUACAAGGCUGGUUUUCGGCGAGAACACACAGUCGCCUCUGAGAAAGCAGGGGGAGCUCAUGGUCCACUUAGGGCUCCAGUGAACUACAGGGCAUCCGCUCGUUUCGACUACCAGCCUGAUAUAUGCAAGGAUUAUAAGGAGACAGGUUAUUGUGGGUUUGGAGAUGCUUGCAAAUUUAUGCAUGACAGGGGAGAUUAUAAGAGCGGCUGGCAAAUGGAGAGAGAGUGGGAGGAGGCAGAGAAAGAGAGGAAGAGGAGGUUGGCAAUGGGUGGAGGAGACGACGAAACAGGUGGAAGAGAUGGGCAUGAGAGUGACGAUGAAGAUGAUUCUUUGCCUUUUGCUUGUUUUAUAUGUAGAGAAAGGUUCAAGGAGCCAGUUGUAACCAAGUGCAAGCACUACUUCUGUGCUUGUUGCGCAAUAGAGCAUCAUAAAAAAAACAAGAAGUGCUUUGUCUGUGACAAACCAACGCUUGGCAUAUUCAACACGGCUCAUGAGAUCAAGAAAAAGAUGGCAGAGGAAAAAUGAGAACUUCAUAUUCUGCUCUUCUAUAACCGUUGGAGAUAAAAUAUGAGCUUUAGCAGGGCUUAACUGAAGAAGGUGGCAAUCUUUUUGGGAAAAUGCAAUUGUUGGGCAUGAGACCAGAUGGGUUUUCUCGCUCUAUACUUCUUGGUGGGUUUUCCAUGGUUUUAUCAUUGGAAACCCAAUGUCCGGGUGACCCAUUUUUGGGGACUAAUUUAAUGGGCUUACUUUAUUUUGUGAUUUGAAUCGAAAACUGCAACAAAUCUUUUUCAUGAAGUGCCCAAGAAGAACUGGGUUUCAAGGAAAAUUACAAUUGGAGGUUUAGCACAAAAUAGCAGGUCAGAUAAGAGCUUAGAGAUGUUAAAGAUGAUGAUGAUGAGAGAAUCAAACUGAGUUCAGAGGUUUUUUCGAGUAUCUUGAGGCCCCGCUCAAAUUGUGAGGACUUGAUCUCUGGUGCAGCACUCCAUUGUUGCGUUAUAAAGCAUGGUCUUUGCUCCGAUCCUUAUAUCUAUCACUCUCUCCCUUUCUCUCUCUCUCUCAUAAACAUGUAUGGAAAAUUUUCUCAGAUGGAGAAAUCAUGGCUGGUUUCCAAUGGAACUUCUCUAAAAGAAUUGGCUUCAUGGGCUCCAUGAUUUCUUUGUGUAUUUAUAAUAAACUUGGCAAAAAGGCAUUGAAGUUAUAUAAACUGAUGAAAUUUAGUGGGGCAAAGCCAUAUUAUUGUAGUCUAUCUAAUGCAUUAUGAGCCUGUAAUUUAAUGAGCUUCUUAGA